rnacentral:rRNA from 1 species
UACGAAGGGUGCAAGCGUUAAUCGGAAUUACUGGGCGUAAAGCGCGCGUAGGUGGUUUUGUAAGUUGGAGGUGAAAGCCCCGGGCUCAACCUGGGAAUUGCCUCCAAAACUGCAUGACUAGAGUACGGUAGAGGGUAGUGGAAUUUCCUGUGUAGCGGUGAAAUGCGUAGAUAUAGGAAGGAACACCAGUGGCGAAGGCGACUACCUGGACUGAUACUGACACUGAGGUGCGAAAGCGUGGGGAGCAAACAGG